rnacentral:rRNA from 1 species
AUGAACGCUGGCGGCGUGCCUCAUCCAUGCAAGUCGAGCGCACGGACGAGAAGCUUGCUUCUCUGAUGUUAGCGGCGGACGGGUGAGUAACACGUGGAUAACCUACCUAUAAGACUGGGAUAACUUCGGGAAACCGGAGCUAAUACCGGAUAAUAUUUUGAACCGCAUGGUUCAAAAGUGAAAGACGGUCUUGCUGUCACUUAUAGAUGGAUCCGCGCUGCAUUAGCUAGUUGGUAAGGUAACGGCUUACCAAGGCAACGAUGCAUAGCCGACCUGAGAGGGUGAUCGGCCACACUGGAACUGAGACACGGUCCAGACUCCUACGGGAGGCAGCAGUAGGUAAUCUUCCGCAAUGGGCGAAAGCCUGACGGAGCAACGCCGCGUGAGUGAUGAAGGUCUUCGGAUCGUAAAACUCUGUUAUUAGGGAAGAACAUAUGUGUAAGUAACUGUGCACAUCUUGACGGUACCUAAUCAGAAAGCCACGGCUAACUACGUG